GACGAACGCUGGCGGCGUGCUUAACACAUGCAAGUCGAACGGAAAGGCCCUGCUUUUGUGGGGUGCUCGAGUGGCGAACGGGUGAGUAACACGUGAGUAACAUGCCCUUGACUUUGGGAUAACUUCAGGAAACUGGGGCUAAUACCGGAUAGGAGCUCCUGCUGCAUGGUGGGGGUUGGAAAGUUUCGGCGGUUGGGGAUGGACUGGCAGCUUAUCAGCUUGUUGGUGGGGUAGUGGCUUACCAAGGCUUUGACGGGUAGCCGGCCUGAGAGGGUGGCCGGCCACAUUGGGACUGAGGUACGGCCCAGAAUCCUACGGGAGGCAGCAGUGGGGAAUAUUGCAGAAUGGGCGGAAGCCUGAUGCAGCAACGCCGCGUGCGGGAUGACGGCCUUCGAGUUGUAAACCGCUUUCGCCGGUGACGAAGCGUGAGUGACGGUAAUGAGUAAAGAAGCACCGGCUAACUACGUG
rnacentral:rRNA from 1 species